CAUGUCCUACGGGGGGCAGCAGUGAGGAAUAUUGGUCAAUGGGCGCGAGCCUGAACCAGCCAAGUCGCGUGAGGGAAGACGGUCCUAUGGAUUGUAAACCUCUUUUGUCGGGGAGCAAAAGACGCCACGCGUGGCGUUCCGAGAGUACCCGAAGAAAAAGCAUCGGCUAACUCCGUGCCAGCAGCCGCGGUAAUACGGAGGAUGCGAGCGUUAUCCGGAUUUAUUGGGUUUAAAGGGUGCGCAGGCGGAAGAUCAAGUCAUCGGUAAAAUUGCGGGGCUCAACCCCGUCGAGUCGUUGAAACUGG
rnacentral:rRNA from 1 species